rnacentral:rRNA from 1 species
CCUACGGGAGGCAGCAGUGGGGGAUAUUGCACAAUGGGGGAAACCCUGAUGCAGCGACGCCGCGUGUGUGAAGACGGUCCUCUGGAUUGUAAACCACUGUCCCCAGGGACGACGAUGACGGAACCUGGGGAGGAAGCUCCGCCUAACUACGUGCAAGCAGCCGCGGUAAUACGAAGGGGGAGAGCGUUUUCGGGUAUUACUGGGUGUAAGGGGACGGUAGGCGGGACUGCAAUCUGAGUGUAAAAUCUAGCGGCUCAACCGGUAGCCGCACUCAAAACUGCAGGUCUUGAGUGAAGUAGAGGCAGGCGGAAUUCCUAGUGUAGCGGUGAAAUGCGUAGAUAUUAGGAGGAACACCAGUGGCGAAGGCGGCCUGCUGGGCUUUUACUGACGCUGAGGCUCGAAAGUGUGGGGAGCAAACAGGAUUAGAUACCCUUGUAGUC